AGAGCGAACGCUGGCGGCAGGCCUAACACAUGCAAGUCGAGCGGAUGUAGCAAUACAUCAGCGGCAGACGGGAGAGUAACACGUGGGAACGUGCCCUUUGGUUCGGAAUAACGCAGGGAAACUUGCGCUAAUACCGAAUAAGCCCUUACGGGGAAAGAUUUAUCGCCAUUGGAGCGGCCCGCGUCUGAUUAGCUAGUUGGUGAGGUAACGGCUCACCAAGGCGACGAUCAGUAGCUGGUCUGAGAGGAUGAUCAGCCUCACUGGGACUGAGACACGGCCCAGACUCCUACGGGAGGCAGCAGUGGGGAAUAUUGGACAAUGGGCGCAAGCCUGAUCCAGCCAUGCCGCGUGGAUGAUGAAGGCCUUAGGGUUGUAAAAUCCUUUCGACGGGGAAGAUAAUGACGGUACCGUAGAAGAAGCCCGGCUAACUUCGCGCCAGCAGCCGC
rnacentral:rRNA from 1 species